AUUGUACCACUUUUAUCUAGAAUGACCCCCAUUUCUUAGCUCUAUUGUUUGUAUAUAUAACGGUGUGCAGCCAUCUUGUUUUUUGUAAUUAUGUUUGCUUCAUGGAUAUGCACCUGUGAUAAUGAAGGUUUUAGUCAAAAUUUUCUUCCAAUUCUCCUCAGGAUAGGUCAUCAAUAUCAGAUUGGUGGGUGGUCGACACC